UAUCAGGUAGUAGUGGGUGUAAUGUACCUACUAGCCAGCGACGGGUACGGGUUGUGAGAGCAAGAGCCCGGAGAUGGAUUCUGAGACAUGAAUCCAGGCCCUACGGGGCGCAGCAGGCGCGAAAACUUUACAAUGCGGGAAACCGUGAUAAGGGGACACCGAGUGCCAGCAUCAUAUGCUGGCUGUCCGGAUGUGUAAAAUACAUCCGUUAGCAAGGGCCGGGCAAGACCGGUGCCAGCCGCCGCGGUAACACCGGCGGCCCGAGUGGUGAUCGUGAUUAUUGGGUCUAAAGGGUCCGUAGCCGGUUUGGUCAGUCCUCCGGGAAAUCUGAUAGCUCAACUAUUAGGCUUUCGGGGGAUACUGCCAGACUUGGAACCGGGAGAGGUAAGAGGUACUACAGGGGUAGGAGUGAAAUCUUGUAAUCCCUGUGGGACCACCUGUGGCGAAGGCGUCUUACCAGAACGGGUUCGACGGUGAGGGACGAAAGCUGGGGGCACGAACCGGAUUAGAUACCCGGGUAGUCCCAGCCGUAAACGAUGCUCGCUAGGUGUCAGGCAUGGCGCGACCGUGUCUGGUGCCGCAGGGAAGCCGUGAAGCGAGCCACCUGGGAAGUACGGCCGCAAGGCUGAAACUUAAAGGAAUUGGCGGGGGAGCACAACAACGGGUGGAGCCUGCGGUUUAAUUGGACUCAACGCCGGACAACUCACCGGGGGCGACAGCAAUAUGUAGGCCAAGCUGAAGACUUUGCCUGAAUCGCUGAGAGGAGGUGCAUGGCCGUCGCCAGUUCGUACUGUGAAGCAUCCUGUUAAGUCAGGCAACGAGCGAGACCCGUGCCCACUGUUACCAGCAUGUCCUCCGGGACGAUGGGUACUCUGUGGGGACCGCCGAUGUUAAAUCGGAGGAAGGUGCGGGCCACGGUAGGUCAGUAUGCCCCGAAUCUCCCGGGCUACACGCGGGCUACAAUGGAUGGGACAAUGGGUCCCUCCCCUGAAAAGGGCUGGUAAUCUCACAAACCCAUUCGUAGUUCGGAUCGAGGGCUGUAACUCGCCCUCGUGAAGCUGGAAUCCGUAGUAAUCGCG
rnacentral:rRNA from 1 species